GUCACCUUGGUCAGGGGGACACUGACCACUGGCAGUGCCAAACCUGGUAACAAACAGUGUCCUAGGAUCUUUACCGUCAGCAGCCAUCUGUCCUGCUUGGGUGAAGAAUUUUGUAGUAGGCAUCCUCAGUGGUCCUGAGAGACACAUCCCCAGGAGAAACAACUUCUGACAGGCAUCCUAUUCAUUUGCUUUUGUGGCCUGUGACUCAACCGCUGUGUCCCAUCUUGUAUCGUAAAGACGCAAAGGGAACUGAAGAGUUGUGCCAAUAGUGUAUGUCAUGAUCUCACCCUGAUGGUGUUUUCUUUCCUAACAUUCAGGUGGCCGUAGGAGCACAGGACACAGGUAUGUAUCCUGGAAACUGUCUCUUGCUGAGAAAAAUGUUUAGAUGGUGAUGCAGGUGGGACAUUGUUGUUGACUUCAGUCUGGAGAGCGACCCUAAUUCCAGAGGCCUGGGGGGACUGGUGCUUGUGAGUGGGGGGAAGGACCUACGUCCCAGGUGAAAAAACUAUGUGAUACUUCCACAGUAGGAGAAAGAUAAUGUAUUCCUCCAGUGUGGUGUGUUUUUGUGGGCAUGAGAACUGGGGUGGUUCUGUGUGUGUGUGUUGUGUGUGUGUGUGUGUGUGUGUGUGUGUGUGUGUGUGUGUGUCACGUGAUCGUGACUCUGAAUGUGUGUUGAGAGUGUUUUCUCGGGAGACACACAGACUAAGCCACACAAAAUGAGACAGACUCACUGCAAGAGAGACAGAGAGAGAAAGAUACAUGUGGGUUUGCCCAGAGAAUAGGUGUCACUGACACUGCACAAUGAUUCAUGUCUACAUUCUCACACACUCCUCCUACUGCACACCUCAAGGUAUACUGCUGUGCACGGCUCAGCAGUAUCAUGUAGUCCAUGCAGGUCACCAAAUCCUCAAUAUCCUCUGGCCCAUGUUCAUAUCAAGGAACAGUCCCUGAGGUAUACUGGAGCAGCACCAACAUGGUACUGACAGGGAUUGUGGUCUUUCUAGGUGUCCCCGAGGAGGAAAGACGGCGGCACCAUCCUGUCCGGAGUCACCAGGCUGUUGCUGAGGUAGCCGUAGGAGCACGAGAAGAAGGUGUCGCGAAGCUGAAAAAGCGGCGGCCCCUUCCUGACACGAGGCAGCAGGAUGGUGCUGAGGUGGCCGUAGGAGCACAGGACACAGGUGUCCCCGAGGAGGAAAGACGGCGGCACCAUCCUGUCCGGAGUCACCAGGCUGUUGCUGAGGUGAGCUUCCUGUCUUUCCUUGACGAACACAAGUGCUUUCUUAGAGUCUUUGCAAUCAACAUCUGUUGUAACUGUGACAAUGUACCGUUGAGAUGAUAAUGUUAUUUUCCCUGUGGGGAGAAACAUGUUGUCCAUUUCCAUGGUUGUUUCUUGCCAACUGUCCCCUUGGUCAGGGGGACAUUUUCCACUGGCAGUGCCAAACCAGGUAAUAAACAGCGUCCUAGGAUCUUUCUCGGCA
rnacentral:lncRNA from 1 species